GCGUAACGCGUGGGAAUCUGCCCUUGGGUACGGAAUAACUCAGAGAAAUUUGUGCUAAUACCGUAUAAUGUCUUCGGACCAAAGAUUUAUCGCCCAAGGAUGAGCCCGCGUGAGAUUAGGUAGUUGGUGAGGUAAAAGCUCACCAAGCCGACGAUCUCUAGCUGGUCUGAGAGGAUGAUCAGCCACACUGGACUGAGACACGGCCCAGACUCUACGGGGAGCAGUGGGAAUAUUGGACAAUGGGCGAAAGCCUGAUCCAGCAANNCGCGUGNNUGAUGAAGGCCUUAGGGUU
rnacentral:rRNA from 1 species